GAGCCAAACCAAAAGGCCCAAAGUUCCAGCCAGGCCUAUAUAGCAAAAGGAGCUAAAAUCUACUUCACCCGCUCACCCCUACACGAACAAGGCAGUCCCUUUUCGCCGCCGCCGUCGUCACUGGUUGCAACUCCGACGACAAACGUUGGAGAAGAAAAUGAAUGCUUUCAAGGCUUAUAAAGCCAGUGUCCCAAUUGCAUGGAGCCCUAAUCUGUAUAUAACUUUGGUGAGGGGAAUCCCGGGAACCAGGAGACUUCAUAGGCGUACUUUAGAGGCAUUACGUCUCGGAAAGUGCAACCGAACUGUCAUGAGAUGGAACACUCCUACAGUCAGGGGAAUGCUCCAACAGGUUAAGAGAUUGGUCGUAAUUGAGACAGAAGAGAUGUAUAAAGCCCGCAAACAAAACUUGGAAAGCCACCGAGAUCUACGCCCCCCUUUGGUCAUAAAUCACCAACCUGCUUCUGCAAGUGGUUCUUCUUAAUGGCCUAUGUAAUUGUUUAGAGGUCAGCUCUCAGCUUCUUAGAUACGUGCCUCUUGAUCGAGGAGACUAAUAUUCCUGUAUUUUUUUUAUAAGCAGCCAAUUCUGGAUCCAGUUGUUUAUCAAUUGCAUGUUUGGUUUUGUGUCUCAAAAUCUGCAGUGGUUCUGAACUAGUUCAUUAAUGCUGAAACAAAUAAUCUUGCAACUA